rnacentral:rRNA from 1 species
CCGGGGCUUCUUCUACGGUUACCGUCAUUAUCUUCACCGUUGAAAGAGCUUUACAACCCUAGGGCCUUCAUCACUCACGCGGCAUGGCUGGAUCAGGCUUUCGCCCAUUGUCCAAUAUUCCCCA